UACAGAGGUCUCAAGCGUUGUUCGGAUUCAUUGGGCGUAAAGGGUGCGUAGGCGGCGCGGUAAGUCGGGUGUGAAAUCUUGGAGCUUAACUCCGAAACUGCAUUCGAUACUGCGGUGCUUGAGGACUGGAGAGGAGACUGGAAUUUACGGUGUAGCAGUGAAAUGCGUAGAUAUCGUAAGGAAGACCAGUGGCGAAGGCGGGUCUCUGGACAGUUCCUGACGCUGAGGCACGAAGGUCAGGGGAGCAAACGGG
rnacentral:rRNA from 1 species